CAGCCGCCGCGGUAAUACGAAGGGGGCUAGCGUUGCUCGGAAUCACUGGGCGUAAAGGGUGCGUAGGCGGGUCUUUAAGUCAGGGGUGAAAUCCUGGAGCUCAACUCCAGAACUGCCUUUGAUACUGUUUGUCUUGAGUUCGAGAGAGGUAAGUGGAACUGCGAGUGUAGAGGUGAAAUUCGUAGAUAUUCGCAAGAACACCAGUGGCGAAGGCGGCUUACUGGCUCGAAACUGACGCUGAGGCGCGAAAGCGUGGGGAGCAAACAGGAUUAGAUACCCCCGUAGUCCCUGUCUCUUAUAC
rnacentral:rRNA from 1 species